rnacentral:rRNA from 1 species
AGUGAACGCUGGCGGUAUGCCUAACACAUGCAAGUCGAACGGCAACACAGUAAGAUUUUGCUCUUACGGUUGGCGAGUGGCGGACGGGUAAGGAAUAGAUCAGAAUCUACUUUGUCGUGGGGGAUAACGUAAGGAAACUGACGCUAAUACCGCAUACAACCUACGGGUGAAAGCAGUGGAUCUUGAGACCUUGCGCGAUUCAAUGAGCCGAUGUCGGAUUAGCUAGUUGGCGGGGUAAAGGCCCACCAAGGCGAAGAUACGUAGCGCGUCUGAGAGGAUGAGCAGCCCCACUGGAAAUGAGACACGGUGCCGACUCCCCCAGGAGGCACAAGUGGGGAAAAUUUGCCGAUGGGCGCAAGCCUGAUCCAGCCCAACCCCGCGGGAGAAGAAGGCCUUUGGGUUUUAAAGACCUUUUGUUGGGAAAGAAAAGAAGCAGGUUAAUACCCCGCCGUUCUGACGGUACCCAAAGAAUAAGCACCGGCUAAAUUCGUG